rnacentral:rRNA from 1 species
GGUUAAGCGACUAAGCGUACACGGUGGAUGCCCUGGCAGUCAGAGGCGAUGAAGGACGUGCUAAUCUGCGAUAAGCGUCGGUAAGGUGAUAUGAACCGUUAUAACCGGCGAUUUCCGAAUGGGGAAACCCAGUGUGAUUCGUCACACUAUCAUUAACUGAAUCCAUAGGUUAAUGAGGCGAACCGGGGGAACUGAAACAUCUAAGUACCCCGAGGAAAAGAAAUCAACCGAGAUUCCCCCAGUAGCGGCGAGCGAACGGGGAGCAGCCCAGAGCCUGAAUCAGUGUGUGUGUUAGUGGAAGCGUCUGGAAAGGCGCGCGAUACAGGGUGACAGCCCCGUACACAAAAAUGCACAUAUUGUGAGCUCGAUGAGUAGGGCGGGACACGUGGUAUCCUGUCUGAAUAUGGGGGGCCCAUCCUCCAAGGCUAAAUACUCCUGACUGACCGAUAGUGAACCAGUACCGUGAGGGAAAGGCGAAAAGAACCCCGGCGAGGGGAGUGAAAAAGAACCUGAAACCGUGUACGUACAAGCAGUGGGAGCACGCUUAGGCGUGUGACUGCGUACCUUUUGUAUAAUGGGUCAGCGACUUAUAUUCUGUAGCAAGGUUAACCGAAUAGGGGAGCCGAAGGGAAACCGAGUCUUAACUGGGCGUUAAGUUGCAGGGUAUAGACCCGAAACCCGGUGAUCUAGCCAUGGGCAGGUUGAAGGUUGGGUAACACUAACUGGAGGACCGAACCGACUAAUGUUGAAAAAUUAGCGGAUGACUUGUGGCUGGGGGUGAAAGGCCAAUCAAACCGGGAGAUAGCUGGUUCUCCCCGAAAGCUAUUUAGGUAGCGCCUCGUGAAUUCAUCUCCGGGGGUAGAGCACUGUUUCGGCAAGGGGGUCAUCCCGACUUACCAACCCGAUGCAAACUGCGAAUACCGGAGAAUGUUAUCACGGGAGACACACGGCGGGUGCUAACGUCCGUCGUGAAGAGGGAAACAACCCAGACCGCCAGCUAAGGUCCCAAAGUCAUGGUUAAGU